rnacentral:rRNA from 1 species
AAUGAACGUUGGCGGCGUGGAUUAGGCAUGCAAGUCGAGCGAGAAGCCCUCUUCGGAGGGUGGACAGCGGCAAACGGGGUAGUAAGGCAUCGGUUACGCACCCCCAGGUCUGGGAUAGCCGAGGGAAACUUCGGGUAAUACCGGAUGAUAUCUCAGGAUCAAAGGUGAGAUUCCGCCUGGGGACCGGCUGAUGUGAUACCAGCUAGUUGGUAAGGUAACGGCUUACCAAGGCUUAGACGUCUAGGGGGUGUGAGAGCAUGGCCCCCACCACUGGGACUGAGACACUGCCCAGACACCUACGGGUGGCUGCAGUCGAGAAUCUUCGGCAAUGGGCGAAAGCCUGACCGAGCGACGCCGCGUGCGGGAUGACGGCCCUUGGGUUGUAAACCGCUGUCAGAGGGGAUGAAAUUCCAGGAAGCUAUCUCUACGGAUUGACAAAGCCUCAGAGGAAGCCCGGGCUAAGUACGUGCCAGCAGCCGCAGUAAAAC